GGGGCCCUUGGCUGCAGAGAUAUUCCCCAGGCUGAAGGAAACCGAGUGCCUUUGACCUUUCCCAGAGUUGGUUUCUAGACCCCCGAGCAGGUGUUCCGUGUGACAGCUUGGUGGUUUUAUACCUGAUAUUCCUGACAUUUCUGCCUCAGAUCCUUUGUGUUUCAAAUUUACAGCAGAACCUGACUUCAGCCUCUCUUGCUGUCCUUCACGAGACCUGUUGCUGCAGGGAAGGCUGAACCCAUUCAUCAGCAUCCCUCAGCUGGUCCUGUCUUGGUGUUCUCCAGUGGCUCCUCCUGUGAAUCCCAGCCUGAGCAGCCCCUUGUGAUGAUUCAAGAGCUGUAGGGACCCUUGGCUUGCUCUCUGUAACAUUUCUGAUUUUGUGAAUCACUGCCAGGCAGUGCCAAAAGUCACAGCUUGCUGGGGCUCAGGUCAGAAUUCCCUGGCUGGCAAAGAUUAUUAACAUGUGGGGAAAUACAUGAAGAGUAUAUGAAAUUUGCUUUAGGAAGCAGGAAAAUGUUUGGAUCCCUGUGUGGCUCACUGUGAAGUUGUUGUAAACUUCUGAAGUGAGAAAAGGUCAAAUGAUGCUUCCUACAGUUUCUGAUUCCAUAGCAGAGGGAUGACUUGUCUGGGACACCUCAGGAAAACAACUAGACAAAAUCAGUUCUUUGAGGAGCAGAGAUUAUGAAUAUCCUUACUCAGCUGAAGUAGUUCUUGUGGAGACCAACAUCUCAGCAGCAAUUGUCACACCCUGAAGGGGCUCUGCAUUUCCUGUUUCUGCAGUGCUGUGAGGAGGAUUACAUCCCUUUCAUUGGAAUGUUGAGCCCAGUGUGGAAAUCCAGAGGACGACCUGUCCACAUCAACAGAAGGACUGGUUGCAGGACUCCAAGCAGUGUCAAAAUAAAAAGAAAGGGACAAAAAUAAAAACUCAGAAGCACAUGAAGGUUGGAAAAGACCUCCAAGAUCAGGGAGUCCAGCCUUCAAUUCAGUAUCACCAUACGCACAAGCCUGUAUCCCAGAGUGCCAUGUGUGCCAUUUUUUAGAGCACUUGCACUUUCAGGGAUACUGACUCCACCGCUUCCCUGGGGAGCCUGUGGCACACAGUGCUCAGGCACUCUGAAAUUUUUCCUCGUAUCCAAGCUGAACCUACCAUGGUGCACAGAGUGCUGCAUCCAGCUCUGGGAUCCUAGCACAGGAAGGACAGGGAGCUGCUGGAGCCAGUGCAGAGCUGGGAAACCAAGGGGAUCAAAGGGAUGGAGCAGCUUUGCUGGGAGGAAAGGCUGAGGGAAGUGGGAGUGUGUUCUGCCUGGAGAAGAGAGGCUUUGGAGUGAUGUGAUCGUGGUCCUUCACUUCCUGAAGGGAGCUUAAAGGAAUAUUGCUGAGAGACUCUUGACAAGGGCCUGCAGUGACAGGACAAGGGAGAAUGGCUUCACACUGACAGAGAGCAGCUUUAGGUUGGAUAUGAGGGAGAAAUUCUUCCCUGUGAGGGUGGUGAGGCUCUGGCACAGGGUACCCAUAGCAUCUGUGGCUGCCCCUGGGUCCCUGGAAGUGUCCAAGACCAGGUUGGAUGGGACUCCAAGCAGCCUGGGAUAGUGGAAGGUGUCCCUGUCCAUGGCAGGAGGGGUGGAACAAGAUAAUCUUUAGCGUUCCUUCCAACCCAGACCAUUCUAUUGAUUUGCCCUCAUCCUGUGCCUUGUUCCCUGGGAGCAGAGCCUGACCCCCAGCUGGCUGCACCCUCCUGUCAAGGAGGUGUGGAGAGCAAUAGGGCUCCCCUGAGCCUCCUUUUCCUCCAGGUUAAACACCCCCAGCUCCCUCAGCCACUCCUCAUCAGACUUGUGCUCCAGCCCCUUGCCCAGCUCCGUUCCCCCCUCUGGACACACUCCAGCCCCUCCAUGUCCAUCUUGCAGUGCCAGGCCCAGAACUGGACACAGCCCUUGGGGCGAGGCCUCCCCAGUGCCCACAGCAGGGGGACAGUCACUGCCCAGGUCCUGCUGGCCACACCACUGCUGACCCAGCCCAGCAGCCAUUGGCCUUCUUGCCCACCUGGGCAUGCACUAUGGACCGGCAGGCCCCGGCCCUUUCCUGCUGGGCACUUCCCAGCCACUCUUCCCCAGCCUGGAGCUGCUGGGGGUUGCUGUGACCCAGGGGUAGUACCUGGCACUCGAGAUCCUGUUCAACCUCAAGGAUAUGAAACGGGACUGGCUCUGACAGUGGGCCCUGGGACACAGCACCAGUGACCCACUGCCCGCUGGAUUAAUUCCACCACCACUCUCUGGGCCCCGCCAUGCAGGCACUUUAUUCCCAGCAAACUGGCAACCUGUUAAAUCUGUGGGCUGCAAGGACAACGCUCUCCAGGAGAGUGCUGUGGGAGCAGUGAUCAAAGGCUUUAGAAGGCCUGGGUACACAACAUCCACAGCCUUUCCCCAUCCACUGGGUGUUCACAGAAGGAGGUUGGGUCAGUCAAGCAGGACCUGCUUGAAUUUGUGCUGGCUGGGCCUGAUGCCCCAGUGGUGCAGCAUACAUGGUGUCAUUGCACUCCAGGUAAUCUGUUCCAUACCCUUCCCAGGCUCCGAGGUAUGACAGGCCUCUGGUUCCCCCAGUUGUCCUUCCAAGCCUUCUCAUAGAGGGGUGUCACAUUGGCUAUGCUCCAGUCACCCAGGAGCUCUCCAGUUCACCAGGUCUCCUGAUAAACGAUGGAGAGUGGAGCUUUGUGGGCUGCUUCACCAGCUCCCAGCAGAAGGAUGGCAUCUGCCUAGACUUGUGCAUGUCUGGGCAGCACAGCAGCUCACCAACAACUUCCUCCUGCAGUGUGGGGACUUUGUUCUGCUCCCUGUUUCUGUCUUCUGGCUCAGAGGGCUGGAUAUGCAGAGGGUAACUGGGCUUUCGGUUAAAGGCUGAGGUCAAGAAGGCAUUGAGUACCACAGCCUCUCCCUCAUCCCUGGAGGUCAUGUUCCCACCCCAGCAUGCAAUAAAGGAUGGAGAAUCUCCUUGGCCUCUUUUUGUUAUUAAUGCGCUUGGAAAAGCAUUUUUUCUUAACUUUUAUGCUGGUGGCCAGAUUGACUUCUAGCUGGACUUUUACCUUUCUAGUUUUCUCUCUGAUUAACUUUGUGACAUCCUUGUAGUUUUCCUGAGUUGCCUGACCUUUCUUCUAGAGCUGCUAAGCUCUCUGUUCUUCCCUGAGUCCCAGUGGAAGCUUGCUGUUCAUCCAGGCUAGCCUUCCCUGAACCAGCUUCCGGCACAUUGCAAGGGGCUCCUGCUCCACCUCUAUGACCUCCUUCCUGAGGAACCUCCACCUUCCUGGGCUCCCUGGCCCCUCAGGACUGCCUCCCAAGGGAUUCUCUCAACCUCUGGUCUGAACAGACCAAAGCCUGUUCUCCACACAUCCAAGUGCUCCUCUGUUUGCAAGCAGCAGAUUCCCUGGGACACCUCCCCUGGUGGGCUCGCCUGCCACCCGUGUCAGCAAGUUCUCUUCCACAUGCUCCAGGAACCUCCUGGAGUGUCUCUUGCCUGCUGCUGGGAUUCCAGCAGACCCCUGAUCAUGAUGGCUGUCUCAGGAGAGCAGGCUCUGGCUGGAGAAAGAAUGCUCAGGAUGCCCAGCUGCCUCCUAAAGCUGACCAGGGUGGUGCUGAGCCACAAGCCCUGUGCCCUGUUUAUCCUCAUCUUUGUGUUCGUAUCCUUUGCCUACAUCAAGUUGUACUGGGGCAUUGAGGAGGACCCAAAGAGCCACGGCCCCACCUACAGCUUGUCUGCUGAGAUCGGCUGUGCUCACCAUGUGCCUUCUCCCCUCAUCACUGCUGGUGGGCCCUCUCCUUCCGCAGGAAACGUGUUUUUUGUGGAGACCUCGGAGCAAACUUCCCCAAGUUACCUGUUCUUGUGCUCUGUGGAGUCAGCAGCCAGGUCACACCCCACGUCACGGGUCGUGGUGCUCAUGAAAGGCUUGGCCAAAGGGAACGCCUCCUUGCCCAAACACUGGGCUUUCUCCUUGCUGAGCUGCUUCCCCAAUGUGGAAAUCCAGCCCCUGGACUUGACAGAGCUCUUUUCUGGAACACCUCUGGCACAGUGGUUCCUGCAGCCUCAGCGGCAACAGGAGCCUCAUUUUUUACAUGUCCUCUCUGACGCCUGCCGAAUUGUCCUCAUGUGGAAAUUUGGUGGCAUCUACCUGGAUACAGACUUCAUUGUGCUUAAGAACUUACAGAACCUCACCAAUGCCCUCGGCAUUCAGGAUGACAGUGAACUGAAUGGGGCCUUUCUGUCCUUUAAGGCCAAGCACAAGUUCAUGGAGCUUUGCAUGCAGGACUUUGUGCAGAAUUACAAUGGCUGGGUCUGGGGGCACCAGGGCCCAGGGCUCCUAACUCGCGUCUUCAAGAAGUGGUGCUCCCUUGAGACUAUCAAGAGCAUGAGCUGCAAAGGUGUGAGUGCUCUUUCCCGAGAAGUUGUUUAUCCUAUUCCCUGGCAGAACUGGAAGAAGUUGUUUGAGGCAGUCACUGCCUUGGAGCUUCAGGAGCUCCUUAAGAGCACCUAUGCAGUGCACAUAUGGAACAAACUGAGCCAUGAGACCAAGUUAGAGAUCCCCUCCCAGGCUCUCCUGGCUCAGCUCUAUUCCCAGUUCUGCCCUGCCACCUACACAAAGAUGAAACAGGACUCUGAAGAGUUGUCAAGGCGUGCAGUGUGACCUGGGGGCCCUUGGCUGCAGAGAUAUUCCCCAGGCUGAAGGAAACCGAGUGCCUUUGACCUUUCCCAGAGUUGGUUUCUAGACCCCCGAGCAGGUGUUCCGUGUGACAGCUUGGUGGUUUUAUACCUGAUAUUCCUGACAUUUCUGCCUCAGAUCCUUUGUGUUUCAAAUUUACAGCAGAACCUGACUUCAGCCUCUCUUGCUGUCCUUCACGAGACCUGUUGCUGCAGGGAAGGCUGAACCCAUUCAUCAGCAUCCCUCAGCUGGUCCUGUCUUGGUGUUCUCCAGUGGCUCCUCCUGUGAAUCCCAGCCUGAGCAGCCCCUUGUGAUGAUUCAAGAGCUGUAGGGACCUUGGCUUGCUCUCUGUGGCAUUUGAAAUUUUCACAGAAUAUUCUUUGUUGGAAGGGACCUGCAGCCAUCUUGGGUCCAACCCCUGGCCCUGCCUGUGGACAGGACACUCCAACAAUCUUGUCCUGCGAAUGAGAGCGUCAUCAUUGGGGCCCUGAGCCCCCCCUGGGGAUCCUGUUCAGUGUCUUGCCACUGUCUGGGGGAAGAACCUUUUCCUGAUAUCCACCCUGACCCUCCCCUGACACAGCUCCAGCCAUGCCCUCGGUUCCUGUCCCUGGUCACGCAGAGCAGCGAUCAGGGCCUGCCCUUCCUCUUCCCCUUUUGAGGAAGCUGCAGAGCUGCUGUGAGCUCUGACCUCAGUCUGCUCUUCUCCAGCUGAACAGACCAAGUGCCCUCAGCUGCUCCGUGUGUGGCUUCACUUCCAAGCCCUUCACCAUCUCCAAAACCGUACUUUGGACACUCAAACAGCUUUAGAUCUUUCUUUUAUUGUGGCACCCAAAUCCACACAUAAUAUUCAAGGUGAGGCCGCCCCAGCCCAGAGCCUGGCCAGCGAUGCUAGGCCGAGUGCCCCAGGACAGGGCUGUCCCUCCUGGCUGCAAGGGCACUACUGGCUCAUGUCCAACUGGCCAUCAACCCCUAUUGUAUUGCACUAAAUAGUUUAUUUAGUUGUUGUUUUGCACUGGGUUGGUAUUUUGCACUGAAUAGUAUCAUGGGAUUCCCCUCUUAUAUCACAUGGUCUUUCCCUCCCCAAGCUCUGCUGGUGGUCUCUUCCCAGGUUACUCCCUCCCCUCACCCUCCCAUCCCUGAUAUCCCAUUGGCUGUGUUCCCUCUUCUCUGCCCCCCUUCCCCUGGGUUUAAAAUCCCCCCUUUUCACACAGUCAGUCUCUUUUUUCCUCUGGUCAUCUUGACCUCCCUUGGACCCCCUGGAGUAAUUCCACAAUAAAGCUGUGGGAUUUUUGGUCCCUAGGAGAAGAGCGCCUCAAGUCUUUCACUUUUGUCCUUGUAUUGCUGUGAGGGGCCAGGAUCCAAAGCUAGCCAGAUUGGACCCGAAAGACCCCGAGAGAUCAGCUUUACAAAUCCCCAGGUCCCUUUCCACAACACUGCUCUCCAGCCUCUCAUUCCCAGUCUGUCUGUACAUCCAGGGCUGUCAUAUCCCAGGUGCAGAAUCCAGCCCUUGCCUUUGUUAACGUCACACAAUUGGUGAUUGCCCAGCCCUGUCAUUUGUCCAGGGCUCUCUGCAGAGCCUCUUCACCCUUGAGGUAGUCAACAGCUCCUUCCAGUUUUCUAUCAUCUGCAAGCUUACUUAGUAUGCCUUUCUGUCCUGCAUUCAAGCUUUUUAUGAGGAUUUUUAAGAGAAUGGGGCCUAAGAGAGCACCAUGUGGAACCCCAGAAGUGAUAGGCUGCCAGUCUGCUGCCACCCAGAUACUGUCAUUCUUUGUGCUUGACCCAUAAGCAAGUUGCUCAGCCAUCACACGAUGUGUUUAUCUAGCUGUGGGCUGCACGCUGAGAUAGAUAAUAUCCAAAGCUUUACUGAAAUCCAAAAAGAUUACACCUACUGAUGUUUUUUUAUCAACUGGGUGGGUUACUUUAGCAUAAAAAGAAAUUAGUUUUGGAAAGCAGGACUUUCCUCUCAUGAUGUGCUGGCUCUGACCAAUGACUGUGUUGUCCUUCAGGUGUUUUUCAGUACCUCCCAGAAUAAUGAUCAUCAUCUCCAUAAUUUUAGCAGGCACUGGAGUGAGAUUGACAGGCCUGUAGCUUCCAGGGUCAUCCUUCUUGCCCUUUGAAUACUGGGACCUCUCCAAAUUCUCAAGACUGUUCAAAAAUUAUCAAGAGAUGCCUCAUGAUGAUAUCAGCCAGCUCUUUAUUCUCACAUUAAUCCUGUCAUACCCCAUAGACCUAUAGGGAUCCAGCUGGAGCAGCAGAUCCCUCACACCUUCAGGGUUAACUCAGAGUUUAUCAUUCUCAUAGUCACAGUCCUCCAGCUCAGGGUGCUGGGACCUCCUUAAUCCAUCAUCAGUGUUGAAGACAGAGGCAAAGAAAGCAUUAAACAUCUCUACCUUCUCCAUGGCCCUGUUUGUGAGGUGACCAUCCUCAUCCUGUAAUGGGCUGAUGUCAUUUCAGCACUGCCUUUUGCCAUUUAUGUAUUUUUAAACCCUCUUUCUAUUGUCCCCCACAUUUCUGAUGGCUUCACCUGCAGUGGAGCUUUGGCCACACAAGUUCUCCCCCUACAGUGGUAAGCAGCAUCUCCAUAUUCCUUCCACAUCACCUGACUUUGCUUCCACUGGGCAUACCCCUUCCUUUUUUACCUUAUUUCCAAAAGAAGAUUCCUGUUCAGCCAAGGUGGCCUUCUGCCUCAUCUGCUUGAUUUCCAAUUUCUAGGAAUUGCCUGUUCCUGUGCCCUGAGGAGCUGGUGCUUAAAAGGUGGCCACAGCCCUGAUGGACCCCAGGACUUUCAAAAGCAUUUUCCCAGGUGUGUUGGUUCUCAAAUCUCAAAAUCUCAAAUUUUGAGAAAAAAACACCCUCAAUUUUUUUCUCAAAAUAUCAAAUUCAAGAUUUCAAAAAUCUGAAAUUGAUGAACCAAAACCACUACACCAGGGGACUUUACUUACUGGUUCCCUGAGCAGCCUGAAGUCGCUUCCUCCCAUGUCCAGGGUUGAAGUUUUGUUGGCACUUUUCCUCCUGUCACCAGAUAUUUUAAACUCGAUGGGUUCAUCACCGCUGUGGCCAAGACAGCCACCUAUCUCCACUCAAGAGGAUCAUAUGAUCCUCUCUGUUGACAAGCAACAAAUCAAGGAGGGAGGGAUCUUUCUGAGUCAGCCCUCUUAGUACCUGUAGCAUGAAGUUGACAUCCAGGUGUUUCAGGAAUACAUAGGGAGUAUAUGAAAAUUGUGUUAAAGAAAGAAUAUUUUACGGCCUACUGUGGAUCUGAUGAACAUCUCCUCACCUAAAUGUGUUCCCUGUGUGUCCAGGUCAUUGUAUUGUAAUAAUGCACUUGAAAUUAACCUCUUAUGGAAUGAGAAGAGAUUAAAACAUCCUGGAGUUCUGCCUGUGCCAAAUCAAAGCCUCUGUCUGGAAGCAUAUUCCUCCAGCCUCCCUAUGUCCAGUGGAAGAGAAGCCCCGCACCUGAGCAUACCAACUUCAUCACCACAGUUUGCUGUCAUCUGCAAAACUGGAAGGGUUGCACACUAGUUGUUCCUUCUCCAGCUCACAGAUAGAGAGAUGAAAUAUUACAGGACCCAAGACAAACAUCUGAAAGACUCCACUUGUAACCAAGGUCCAGGUAAGUGUGAACCAUUUGUGUUCUUUGUACCAUUCCCUCUCCUAAGGGAUGCUUUUCCCACUGGACAUGACAAAGCAUAGGCAACUUUUUAAGCAAAAGGCCCUUUUGCAGGCACCUUUUCCUGCAGCACCACCUGCCCUUAAUCCUGACUUGGCAAUUGGUUACCUGCACAUCAAUUGUGUAGUCUUUCCCAGGCCUAAGGCGAUGAACAUCUGCAUCCCACAUCUCACUGAAAAGCUUAGAAAGUUCACAAUUUGGGGCCUUCCUGCCAAGAAAUACAGAAGAAUGCAUGUAAGGCACAAAAAAAGGCACGUGCUGUUAUUUCUGCAAGUCACUUGCAGAGUCUUCUAAUGCCUCUCCAUGUUCUGGAUAUCAGCCUGGCAUCAAGUUUCUCUUUCUCCCCACACCUUCUUGUAAAAACCACAAUACUUAUGGUCCACAUUCCUUUUUAAAGAAUGCAGGUAACUUGUAAGGAAACUUGAGUCUUCCCUUAGACUGUCAGACAACAAAGUUCUUGUUGAUAAGUUCCUGUGGUUUUCCAUGCAAUGAAACAAAAAAGAAGAUGGUGGUGUUUCAUUCCCAAGGAUUCUGUGCAACCAGAGGCAAGCAGGAGAUUGUUCCCACCAUGCAGCAACACUGCCAACAGAACAGGAAGCAAAAAAUUCUCCCUAUGAUGCUUUUCUCACAGCAAUCUUAUAAACUCUUCCCUUCUUCCUUCAAUCAAGAUUCCUCACAGAAUGUUUUCCUUUGCCAUGGUAUUAUCCUAGCAUAAAGGUAGUGGUGACAAAGGGUAAGUAAGGCUUUAAAUGCCAUGUCUGCAUACAAUAAAAAUCCCUCAUGCACUGAUCUGUGAUGCACAUACCUACCCAAGCUUCUCCUUCCCUAAUUUUUAAUGGAGUCUUGUCCUGCAUAAUAGUGUUCAGUUUUCAGAAGUCUGUCCAUUCGUCUGUCAACAAAAUUUAGGUAGGGUUGUGCAUUGUUUUUGCAUGGCCUGGUUUUUGGUAGCUGGGGGGGCACAGAGGUGGCUUCUGUGAGAAGCUGCUGGGAGCUUCCACUGUGUCCAGCAGAGCCAAUCCCCAGUGGCUCUGAAGAAGGACAUGCUGCUGGCCAAGGCUGGGCCAGUUAGAGGUGAUGGUGAGGCCUCUGUCAUAACAGAUCUAAGAAGAAAAUCAGCACAAAUUUGGCACAGUUCUAUUCCUAGCCAGAGAAGAGGAGGAACUGAGAAUAUGUGCGGGAAACAAGAUGGUGACACCAAGGCCAGUGCAGAAGCAGGCGAGGAGAUGCACCCAGGCACCAGAGCCAAGGUUCCUCUGCAGGCCAUGGUGAGAUCAUGAUGAAGCAUCUGUGCCCCUGCAGCCCACAGGGAUCCACAGGGGAUGCAGAGAUCCAUCCACAUCCAUGGGGGAGGUUGCCAUGCUGGAGCAGGCACCUGGAGGAGGCCAUGAUCCAGUGGAAUACCCGCUGGAAAGAGGGGGCCCUUGAUCCUAAGCUGGAACAGUCUGUCUUUGGAGGACUGCACCCCAUGGAAAGAGAGACCCACAUUGCAGCAGUUUUGGGAGGACUGUCUGCCAUGGGAGGGACUCACUGUGCAGCAGUUUUGGGAGAACUGCUGCUUGUGAGAUUUGGACCCACACUGGAGGAGUUCAUCGAGAACUGGUGAGAAGGAACACCACAGUCUCACAGGGGAAAGACUCCUCUUCCUGAGCAGCAGCAGAAGGUCUUGGGUGAUGAACUAACCAAAAACCCCCAUGCCCUGUCUCCCUGCACUGUUGGUGGAAGGAGGGAGGGGCUUGGGGAAAAAAUGUGUUUUACUGGCUUAUUUUGCUUCUCAUUAUCUUCCUCUGACUCUGUUGGUAAUAAAUUCACUUUGUACUUUUAAGUUGA